CAUAUCUAUACCCGACACGGGAUAGGCGAUGGGGUCCAGAAGCCGAUUUUUCAGGUGAACAGAGGCACCUACUCACGGCGCAGUCGACUUAAGAGAUCCGACGGCAGUACGACAUCGACCAGCUUCAUCCUCCGCCAGAUGUAUCUAGAUCUAUGAGUCUGCACAGAAGAAGAAAGUAUCCCAGGGGAAACCAGUGACCUUGAUGCCUGCAAUGUGGCAUUUCUAGCUGUCGCCGAGUCUACCCUUGCUCAUAUGUUUGAGGACUGUACAGUAUUCCCUGCAGAGUUGUUGUGCUGCUGUAAAGCAAAUAGCUUUGCCUUUGUGUAUUAAAUCAUAAUGUGGAUUGGAUUAAACUUUCAUUCCUAUACUGUAACCAAACAGCAUUUACUGUAAUUGUUUAUGUUAAAUUUACAGUAACAAAUCUAGCCACUGUAGUUGCCAGAACUUGACUGUGAAAACAGUGAUGUCACAAUCACUAUGGGAUGGCAUUUUGGUUUCUGUUUAAUGUUUUAUAUUAUAUGAAUAUGAAGAAACAUACAAUUUUAAAAAAGAAAAUACAAACAAAUAUGAUUCUUACAGGCAAUGCCUCUUUCCAUAUAAAUUAAAGGGUUAGUUCACCCAAAAAUGAAAAUUAUGUCAUUAAUUGCUCACCCUCAUAUUGUUCCACACCUGUAAGACCUUCGUUCAUCUUCAGAACACAAAUUAAGAUAUUUUUGAUCAAAUCCGAUGGCUCAGUAAGGCCUGCAUCAGCAGCAAUAACACUCCCUUUUUCAAUGCCCAGAAAGCUACUAAAAACAGUUCAUGUGACUACAGUGGUUCAACUUUAAUAUUAUAAAGCGACUAGAAUACUUUUUGUGUGCCAAAAAUAACAAAAUAGCGAC